GAUGAACGCUGGCGGCGUGCCUAAUACAUGCAAGUCGAGCGAAUGGAUUAAGGGCUUGCUCUUAUGAAGUUAGCGGCGGACGGGUGAGUAACACGUGGGUAACCUGCCCAUAAGACUGGGAUAACUCCGGGAAACCGGGGCUAAUACCGGAUAACAUUUUGAACCGCAUGGUUCGAAAUUGAAAGGCGGCUUCGGCUGUCACUUAUGGAUGGACCCGCGUCGCAUUAGCUAGUUGGUGAGGUAACGGCUCACCAAGGCAACGAUGCGUAGCCGACCUGAGAGGGUGAUCGGCCACACUGGGACUGAGACACGGCCCAGACUCCUACGGGAGGCAGCAGUAGGGAAUCGUCCGCAAUGGACGAAAGUCUGACGGAGCAACGCCGCGUGAGUGAUGAAGGCUUUCGGGUCGUAAAACUCUGUUGUUAGGGAAGAACAAGUGCUAGUUGAAUAAGCUGGCACCUUGACGGUACCUAACCAGAAAGCCACGGCUAACUACGUGCUAGCAGCCGCAGUAA
rnacentral:rRNA from 1 species